UGAUGUGAGGAACUUUUUGUGUUAUGUGGAGUAUAACACACUGCUGCUUUUGACCCCACACACAUCCAUUACUGUAGAAUGCGGCCCUGUUGGGUCAACGGGGACAUCUGAUCUAGUCCUACGUAAGGAAGCCGUUGAAUGAGUUUUGUUAACAUUGCUUUUAUAUUAAAAAUAUAUACUUUUAAUAAAAUGUUGAACUUGUCAACACAUCACGGCUGGGAAAAAUUCCCAGUCUGUACGACUUCCAAGUAAACCAAACUUAAAUUAUGUUGGCUACACACACACACACACAUGCACGUCCCUCUAAAUUUACUUUGCUUUGUCUCAAUUUGUUUCUGAGCCAUUUGCCAUCCUUAAAAUCGUCUGAAACACAAUAGAGGUGAAAUGCGAAGCUUGUGUUGUCUGGCAGCAGAUAUGAGUCUGUCUGGAUGUUGCCUUCAUUCAGAAAUUCCCUGGCAGCCGUAGAAACAUCGUCAGACUCCAGCAGCUUCCAGAGAGCUCAUUCAACCCCGCCCGCUGCUGGAUCGCAUUACUUGCGAGGGCCCGGCGGCCAAGAAUUCAGGAUGGAAAGGAUAAAAAUCGGAUGAAAUGAAAAAUAAUCCCUGUUGAUGCCAGACCCCUCUGGACACUCGAAGCUGAUUUUGUUUGUGGAACACACCUUAGUCUUCACUGGAGUCUCCAAAGCACCAGGAACCAGGUACAAUGUGCCCGGGGCUUUUGUGUGUGAGAGUGUUUGCGGCGUGAUUAAUGUGACUGACAGGUAUAGGUCUCCCUGUUCUUUGUGAUUUCGCCUACACUCAUUUGUAAUGAACACACUUAAAAUUCACAUUGUGAAAUCCAGUGUGUGCGUGUGUGUGUGUGUGUGUGUGUGUUGCUUUGACAGGCCAUUUCAUUUUCCUAUUUCUUGCAUUGACUCAGGGGCUAGGCCUAGGACUGGCUUGGAUAAGGCCUACAUCCUGCUUCUGUACUACAGGUGAGAUCAAAAUAAAACCAUUUGAAAUAGUUUAAGAGUGUAAUCA
ensembl:lncRNA